rnacentral:rRNA from 1 species
UGAGGAAUAUUGGUCAAUGGGCGAGAGCCUGAACCAGCCAAGUAGCGUGCAGGAUGACGGCCCUAUGGGUUGUAAACUGCUUUUAUAAGGGAAUAAAGUGAGUCUCGUGAGACUUUUUGCAUGUACCUUAUGAAUAAGGACCGGCUAAUUCCGUGCCAGCAGCCGCGGUAAUACGGAAGGUCCGGGCGUUAUCCGGAUUUAUUGGGUUUAAAGGGAGCGUAGGCCGGAGAUUAAGCGUGUUGUGAAAUGUAGACGCUCAACGUCUGCACUGCAGCGCGAACUGGUUUCCUUGAGUACGCACAAAGUGGGCGGAAUUCGUGGUGUAGCGGUGAAAUGCUUAGAUAUCACGAAGAACUCCGAUUGCGAAGGCAGCUCACUGGAGCGCAACUGACGCUGAAGCUCGAAAGUGCGGGUAUCGAACAGGAUUAGAUACCCUGGUAGUCCGCACGGUAAACGAUGGAUGCCCGCUGUUGGUCUGAAUAGGUCAGCGGCCAAGCGAAAGCAUUAAGCAUCCCACCUGGGGAGUACGCCGGCAACGGUGAAACUCAAAGGAAUUGACGGGGGCCCGCACAAGCGGAGGAACAUGUGGUUUAAUUCGAUGAUACGCGAGGAACCUUACCCGGGCUUGAAUUGCAGAGGAAGGAUUUGGAGACAAUGACGCCCUUCGGGGCCUCUGUGAAGGUGCUGCAUGGUUGUCGUCAGCUCGUGCCGUGAGGUGUCGGCUUAAGUGCCAUAACGAGCGCAACCCCUCUCCUUAGUUGCCAUCAGGUCAUGCUGGGCACUCUGGGGACACUGCCACCGUAAGGUGUGAGGAAGGUGGGGAUGACGUCAAAUCAGCACGGCCCUUACGUCCGGGGCUACACACGUGUUACAAUGGCAGGUACAGAGAGAGGGUUGUACGUAAGUGCGAUCAAAUCCUUAAAGCCUGUCUCAGUUCGGACUGGGGUCUGCAACCCGACCCCACGAAGCUGGAUUCGCUAGUAAUCGCGCAUCAGCCAUGGCGCGGUGAAUACGUUCCC